rnacentral:lncRNA from 1 species
CUUUCUAUUCUCGUGGUUCUGAACUACGAUUGCUCUGAUUUUCUCAUGGCACAAUGAGAAUACGUAGGCACGAGGAUGUGAAUCCUUGGCGAGCAUACUUCUAAUUAUUCCUCCUUCGCCUUAGGGCAUCACUCAUAUCUUUCACUAUCCAUCAUCUACCUUCGAUCAUAAAUCGUUCACCCAGUGACAUACUGUCUCUUUGAUAUCAAAAUACACUUUCUUUGGAAUUCCAUAUACACAUCCUUUUAGGACACCUAAUGUAGUCCGCCUUUCUACCUAGAGUUGUUUGGGCUACAACCUCAAACACUUAAUUCCUUCUUUUUUGGCUAAACACCCUAUAGUGGUGGCCCACUAGUCCACGUAUUGGUUAAAGUUGUUUCCCUCUAUGGUAUGAAUUUCACUUAUUUUAUGGAUUCCAAUACACUUUCACCUUUUGAUUUCAAACAAUACUUCUCCAGUCACUUAUCACCAAAUAUUCAGUUUUUGUGACUUCGGUCACUUCAUUCCGUUCAUCUCCAUGAUACACUCAUAUUCUACCUUCACUUACUCCAGGUGAUAUACCAGUUAUCUUUGAGCCAAAUAUACUACCCCUUUGUGCUCCUCCUUGCAUCACCUUGUGAACCAAGAUAUGUUUGGGACCGCGCCCAAAAACCUAUUUCUUCGUCUUUUUGGCUUUACCUUAUAGUGGCGGCCUGCUAGUCCAUGUACUGGUAAUAGCCACCUUAGUCUUGGGUUCAUAUUUCACCCUUGUUGGAGCUCAAAACACUGUUCUUUGGUUCAAACCAUUUUUCUAUCACACUUUUUUCCACCUCAUGCCUCUAGUUCCUUGAACUACGAAGCUCUAAAUUCCUUAUUGCACUAUGAGGAUACAUAAGCAUGAGGGCCCUAAUCCUCACCGAACACUUUAUAUGUUUCCUUUCCUUUCCCGUCCUUUUGCGAGUAACUCUUAGAUCUAACACCUAUUCGACCGAGAACAAUCAAAACGGUUCCCAUGGAGUACCAUGGAUGUUUGGGAUGCUAAUACAUUCCCCUUGUAUAACCGACUUCCUUACCCAACAUAUCUUUUUCCCCCGGGUUUUAUCGAUGUUUUCCCUUCCCUUUGGGGAUAAAUAAAGUUCGAUGGAGACUCUGUUGUAUGUUCGAGCGUGCGAUACGUUCGGGUAUAUUUCCGCUAGCUUCACACAUGUUCUUUUAUUUUAGACUUAUUGAAUAUAUUAAUUCAAACUUCAUUUAUAAAAUGCUACUAACAAUAACACAUAUAUUCUUAAGUUUUAGAUUAUUUGUUUUCCCUUAAACUUGUGAAUAAUUUGAUUAUUUAUUUAUCAUAUUCACACUAAAUUGACUAAUUUAAAUAAAUGAAUAAAACAUGGGAUUUACUUAUUCAAUAAAAAUGAGAUUUGCAAUUCUCACAAAAUUAAUUAUUUUAAGUGAUUAAAAUGUAUGAUUCUGACUUAUUAAUUAAAUUAAAUUAUGUUCUUCUACUUAAUAAAAUAAAGGGUGUUUCAAUUUACUAAAUUAACCAUUUGUAAAAUAAUUCUAAUAAUUCUAAUUUCAAGUACAAAUAAAUCAUUUUGAGAAAAAGAUACAUAUUUUUAAUCUAAUUAAAUUAAUUUAUCAUAAUAUAGUAACUCAUCAAAUCAAAUAAUGUAUUAUGUUAGAAAUAAAUAUUGUAUCACCACCACUCUGAAUAAAAUAAUAAAAUACAUAUAGUGAAUAGGUUUGAAUUUAAAUAAAAGUCAAUUAUUGUAGAAUUCACAAUUUUCAUCUCAUGAAUAAAAUAAAUUAAAUCAACGUAUACUAAUUUAAUAAAAUUGGUGUUUUAAUAAUUUAUUUAAAUUUAUUACACAUAAAAUAACUCAUUUAAUAAAUAACAAAUCAUAAAGGUUAUUGAGACAAAUAUUUAUAAUAUAAAUAUUUAAAAUUUUGGGGUGUUACAGAAUGCAAAUAAUUAUGCAACAUCCAUAGAUUCAAAGCAUUAAUGGCAUAAUAACUCAAGUUCAAAACUCUGGCAUAUAUAUACAACAAUGCAAUAAUGAUAUGCAAUAAUGUAUGUUAACAACAUAAAAUAAUCCGGAUAAUCUGUGUAUAUUGCUUAAUGCAGGAUCAAAGGUUUGACGUCCAUGAGAAUAAGGUAUGUAGAGUUUAUGAUUUCCUGGGAAAAAACCAUAUCCCCCUCAUAGGUAGGUUCUAGUCUUCAGAAGGUAGUCCUUAUAAGGUCUUCGAGAGUCAUCGACUUGAAAUGAAAAUACCCUGCCAUAGUGAAUUCUCAUAGGACAAAAUUACUUCCAAGUGAAUCUAGUCUGGGUGUGGCUGUCGUGACAACCCAACGCGUGAAACGCGGGUGUACAUGACUAUCCACGUAUAUAUCCUGUGUAUGUACUCAGCUCGGGUAUAAAGCUUCACUCAUGUAGUAUAACCCCUACCUAAUAGAGAGUAUAACAUAUAACAUCAUGUAUAAACAAUAUUUAAAGAAAUAAAGAAUGCGAUAAAUAAAGCGAGUAGAGUAAUAAAGGUAAACACCCAAGCAAAAGGAGAAGCAAUCAAAACCAGGCUCGACUCCUUUUAACGAUUAGGAAGUACUCCAAGCAGCGAAGUAGUCCCCAUUAGAGUUGCUAGAUGAAGCUGAGGAUACUCAAGAAGAGAGCCUGAACUACAAGCAAACUCCCCAGCAGAGUCACCAAUCGAAGCUAGCGGAAAUAUACACAAGUGCAUCGCACGCUCAAACAUACAACAUAGUCACCAUCGAACUUUAUUUAUUCCUGGAGGAAAGGGAAAACAUCGAUAAAACCCGGGGAAAGAGAUAUGUUGGGUAAGGAAGUCAGUUAUGCAAGGGAAAGGUAUUAGCACCCCUAAUAUCCAUGGUACUCCAUGGGAACCGUUUUGAUUGUUAUUUCUCGAAUGAGUGUUAUAUCUAAAAAAUUCUCGCGAAAGAAUAAAGGAAAAGGAAAGAAAUAGAUAAAAUGCUCGGUGAGGAUUAUGACCCUCAUUCUUACGUAUCCUCAUAGUGCACUGAGGAAUUCAAAGCUCCGUAGUUCAUAGAACUAAUGACAGGAGAUAAAAAGAAGAAUGAUAACAAGUAUGGUCUGAACCAAAAGGUAAUAUUGUUUGAACUCCCAAAGGGGUGAAAUAUGAACCCAAGAGUAAAACUGGCAUUGACCAAUAUGUGGACUAGCUGACAGUAUCUGCGACUAUAUGGUAUAACCGAAAACAAUGAGAAUUAAAUGUUUGGGUACGAGCCAAAUAACUCUUGGUUCACAAAGAGAUACAAGAUGGAACUCAAAGGAUAUUUUAUUUGGCUAAAAGAUAAGGUAUAUCACAUGAAGCGAAUGAAGGUAGAAUAUGAAUGCAUCAUGGAGAUGAAUGAAAUGAAUGACCAUAGUCACAAAACUGAAUAUUUGGUAGCAAGUGACUGAAGAGGUAUAAUUUGAAACCAAAGGUAAAGGUAUACAUUGGAAUCCAUAUGAGAAACAGAAUUUGUACCCUAGAGGGAAACAAUGUCUUAUCCAAAAAGAAGGAAUUAUAGGUAUAAGUACGAGCCAAAUAACUCUAGGUACAAAUGUGGAUUGCCACUAUAUGGUCAUAAAAAUGUGUAUAUGGAAUUCCAAAGAAAACUGUAUUUCGGUUUCAAAGAAAUGAUAUGUCACUAGGUGAAAGGUACAGUGAUUGAAGGUAGAUAAUGGAUCAUGAAAGAUAUGAAUGGUGCCAUAAGGCGGGAGGAAUAAAUAAGCAUGCUCGCAGAGGAUUUGAAUCCUCAUGCCUACGUAUUCUCACUGUGCAAUGAGAAAGUCAGAGCAAUCGUAGUUCGUGGAACCACGAGAACAAAUGGAAAUUGAAAGUGAUGAAAAGAAUAACUUUCACCAACAUAAUGGUAUCAAGGGAACCCACAAAUGGUGAGUUAACUUUAAACCAAAGAGUAAAAUGGCGUCUUAGCCUAAAAGAAUGAAUUAAAUGCCUGGGUCUGAUCCAAAUAACUCUUGGUUCACAAGGUGGACUGUCAUUAUAUCAUCCUAAAAGGAUGUUCAUGGAGUCCAAAGAGAAGUAUAUUUUAUCUAAAAAAUAUGGUAUUGAUUGACGAAUGAAGAAUGAAGUGUUAAUAAAUAAGGUAGCUCAUUGAGACUCUGAAUUCUCCUACCUACGUAUUCUCACAGUGUAAUGAGAAAGUCAUAGCUUUCGUAGUUCAGCCUACUGCGGCUGAAAGAAAAGGAAAACUGAUUGACUUGCUAGGUUACACAACCCUUCAAGACUAAAAAAUGAGUUCCAAGGUUCACAACCUUCUAGGAAAGGUAUCAGUACCAGAGUCUAUAACUGAUGAUGUCGAGGAAUUGAACAGCCAAGGUUUAUCACCUUACAGGGCAAAGAGAAACAGAUGUUAUAGUCCAUGACUCUCAGGGAAAAGAGCUGAAUUGAAUAACCAAGAUUUACUGCCUCUCAAGGCAAGGAACCGAAUUGGACUGCCAAGGUUUAUCACCUUACAUGGUAAAGAGAAAUAGAUGCCAGAGUCCAUGACUCUUAGGGAAAAGGCUUGAACUGAAUAGCCAAGGUUUAACACCUCUCAAGGCAAGAAAUUGAAUUUCCAAGGUUUAACACUUCUCAAGGCAAGGAACAAGUGCCAAGGUUUAUCACCUUACAAGGGAAAAAAUAAGAGCCAAGGUUAUUCACCUUUCAAGGAAAAGAAUUGAAUGAAAGAGAGUGUACAACCACAAAUUGCUAAUAGCAAAGGUGUCCCAUUAUUGAAGUGUUUGAAUGAUUGAUGCUUGCUUGAAGAAUAAGACUUAUCAAUUGUGUGAUUCAAAUUGCACUAAAGUAUAUGAAAAAAGGCGAAUAGCUUGAGCAAUUGGGUCAUGUGUCCCGUACCCAAGGAUAUCCUAGACAAGGAUAGGAGUUCUCCACUCUCAUCAUUCUUUGUUUCUUAAGCCUCAUAGCGCGCAACUCAAAUCAAAAUUGACAAGUUGCUGAUAGGAGAUCAUGUGUGUUGAUCCUAUUAAUGUAAUGUUACUCGUCGUAGAAGAAGACUUGACAAUCACAUAAUUCAAAUUAUGCUAAAGUCUAUGAAUAAAGGUGAAUACAAUGAUCAACUGGGUCAAGCAUCUCGUACCCAAAGAUAUUCAUAAUGAGUUAAUGUAACUCUCCAUGCUCAUCCAUUCUCUAUUGCUUAAGGCUCGUGCCACACACUUUGAAUUAUGAUCAUCAAGUAAUGAUACUUUUGCAGUGCUUUAGAAGUAAUCCACUUUGCUAGCUAUGCUUGACUGAUGUUGACUUGACGUCUUGAUCUUGCCUUUGAACCUUGAGGUCUUGAGCUCCUGAGAUUCAGCAUAUCCGCAAUAGCUUGAGCGUAAUGAACUUGCCAUAUCAAGUGAUCAAGGGUCUUUUGAUCACUUGAAUGGGCUUGGGGCUUACAACACAAUUACAAAGGAUUUGAUCGUCCAAAGUGUCAUUUGGUCAACACUAAUCGAUGGGAUUGAAAUAAUAGUUGAGCUAUGCACAAUAAUAAAUCCUAAAUAAAUCAGACAAUUCUGGUUAAAUCCCUAAACUAGGGGAGCAUGUAUUAAAAAUCAAAAUUUUAUGUCCUAAGGGCAAAAUGGUCAUUUCACAAAAUGAAAUUAAAUCAAACUAUGUAAAACCAAUUAGUCAAUUAAAAACCAUUCAUGAAUAUGUGAUGAGAAUGGAAUUAGGCUAAGUUUAAUUUCACAAAAAACUAAAAUCUCUAAAGACAACAAUUAAUUGAUUAAUUACAAUUAUUUCUACAAAUCAUAAUAAUCUAAUUAACCUCACAAAUAGCCGAUUACAAUUAAUCAUAGAAAUUUUAAUGCUUACAAAUAAUCAUCUUAAUCACCAUUAGCAUAAAAAACUGAACUCAAAUCCUAAAUUAAUUAGAAUUGGUUAAGCUAAUUAAAAAAAUUAAUUAAGGUUAAGUUAACGAGCAUAACACCAAGGGUCUGGGUCUGAAAACCAGGUGCAAUAAGAGAUUAUUGGGCCUAAAGCCCAAAAUUCGCUACCAAAUAAAAAGGGAUGGCACACUUGUGCAGGGUGCAAAUAGCAAUAUUUGGGCUUGAAGCCCAUAAUCACCAUCCAAGCCAAAAUGUGGUGCGGAAAAUUUUACCUUGUACCCCUACAAUUAAUCCUAUACCCCUACAAAAAUUUAAAAAUUCCCAUUUUACCCUUAAUUGGUUUUAACCAAUUUACCAUUUCAUUUUUACCAUUCAGUUGAAAAUUACAACCAAUUACACUUUCACACCCUCGCACCGGAACACCGAAAAAGACUUCCGGUAUGUAUUUUUCCAAACCGGAAGACUUUUGGGAAGACUUCCGGAACACAAAAAAAGCAAAACCGGAACAUUUAAGGAAAGAGUUCGGUUCACAUAAAAAAUUUCAAAAAAAUUUGCAUACCGGAACUCUUUGGGAAGUGUUCCGUUUGCUUUUUUUUUGUGUACCAGAAUCUUUCUUUAAGUCUUCCGGUACGUGUUUUUUUUUUUACAGAAAUGGAAAAUCUUCCCAAAAUAUGUAGAUACUACUGAUGCGUUUAUGACGACGGAAAGAUUUGGUACACGAGAAGAGGUUUACAGAUGGAUUAAAGAGGUUGAAUCGACAAUAAAGUAACUGUUAUUAUCAGUCGUUCAGAUACUGAAACGGGGAAGAGAGGAGAAGUAACAAAAUAAUAUUUGGCUGUGAUAAAGGUGGGAAACACAGAUUAGUGAUAGUGGUACCCAAAGUGCGUCCAGAAAUGUGGAUGUCCAUUUAAAAUCAGGUCGACUCCGGCGAAAGAUGGAUUCUGGUUGGAAGAUUGAUGUAAAAUGUGGGUUACAUAAUCAUGGUUUACCUGAUAGAUUAGAAGGUCAUUCGUUUAUUGUAGGUUGACCACGAUAUGAGAAGCAACAUGUCGCUGAUUUGGCAAAGAGACAUGUAGCACCUAGAAACAUUUUGCUUUCCUUGCAAGACAAGUUUCCUGAGAAUGUCACUCGUAUUACGCAAGUAUACAAGCUAAAGUGGUGAUAGAAAAAGAGAUAAGAGGUCCAAGAGAGUGAGAUACAACAUCUGUUUAAGCUUAUUGAGGAUGCAGGAUAUGUGAUUGGAGUAGGAAAAAGGAUGACUCGGAAGUGGUGAGAGAGAUAUUUUGGGCAUCCUGAUUCAGUGAAGUUGUUGAAUAUAUUUCCGAUUGUGUUAGUUAUGGAUAGCACCUACAAGACAACAAAUAUAGACAACCUUUGUUUGAAAUUGUUGGCAUGACAUCGACUGGUUGACUUUUGCUGUUGGAUUUGCAUAUAUGGAGUCUGAGCAAACAGAGAAUUUUUGCUGGGUAUUGGAGAAAUUAAAGAGUUGUUUGUGAAGAAAGACAUGUGUCCACAAGUGAUUUUGACAGAUAGAGAUCUUGCUUUGAUGAAAGCAAUUGAAGUUGUGUUUCCCAACUCGAUUAAUUGCUAUGUAGAUUCACAUAACAAAAACGUUGGUGCCAAAUGCAAACAACAUGUGGUGAAUGACCUGCAAAAGACGAUAGACACAUUAUGGAUGGAAGUUGUCUGGGCUAGUGAUGAGGUGAGUAUGGUCAGCGGUUGCAUCAACUUGAGCAAGCAUGUGUUGAUAGAGUGGAUUUAUUAAUUAUGUGAAAGACAAUGGUGACUCCACAUAGGCAUAGAUUUGUUGGAGCAUGGAUUAUCGAGUCCUACAUUUGGGUAACACAACGACUAAUCGUACGUCUUAUAAUUUUAUAUUUGAUAUUUUUUUUAUGUUUUUGAUGUGUUAUUUUCAAUAUUUGAUAUUUUUAAUACUUGAUAUUUUCAAUAUCUAAUGGUAUUUUUUAUAUCUGAUAUUUUUUAGGGUUGAAUCUGCUCAUUGGAGUUAAAGCAGAUUUAGGAAACAGUAUAGGUGACAUGGUCAAAUGUUGGGAAGCCAUGAAUAACAACUUGAGGUUACAACUGGGAAACAUUAGAGCUUCAUUUCAAAAGAGUUUUUACGAAGUAGAACGCGCACGUAAGUCCCUUUUAUGGUUAUUUGCGUGGUUCCGUAUCUCGAGCUGCUUUGAGACGUAUUGCUGAAGAGUUAUGAGAGUUGUUAUGUUGGAACUAACAGGCAAAUAUGUGGUUGUACUCUUAGAACAUCUAUGGGUUACCUUGUGCUUGUGAGUUAGGAAGAUACAGAGUAGGUGGUAUACCGAUACCGAUACCCAUUGCCACGGUCACAUUAGAUUGGAAGAAAUUUCGUUCUCAUAUAGCAACUACUUGGAUGCUAGGAUUUGCAGGACGUAUGCAACAUUGGCAUUACUUACACCUGUAUUAGCAUGAUAUGUAAUCAAAACAUAAAUAUGUAAUCAAAACAUGAAAUCUAUAUUAUUAUGUCUAUAUAUCAAAGCUUAAUACAUAUAAUCAAUGUGAACGAGAAAUAUGCAAAGCUUCAAAUAAAUCAGAAAACUGUGGAUCUUCCUCUUCAACAUUCCUGUCUCAGAUAGCGACGAAUCAAUGUAGAUACACGAGCCCAAUCAGGAUCAGAUGGCCCGCGUCACAUACAGGAACGGGUACCUCUCUAGGAGCGUCACGAUGGGGAGGGACCAACCGUGGAUGGGAAACACGAUAAUACACUCCAGAAUAACCGUCUACUACCUCAGAUGGAGUGGUGGCCACGGAAGAUGAACCGAUCACAUCGACAACACUCUGAUGGUAACUGAUCCAAUCAACAUCAAUAUCCGCGCCAUCAUACAAUCCAGAGGUGGGGAUGGAACAUACUGCCUAUACCCGAACUGACGUAAACAUCUAUCAGGCAAGUAUGGAACACACUGUUUCACCCCACUUCACCAGCCCUGUAAAGACAUAUCUCAUCAAAUACACGCCAUGCUCUAUGACCUCAAAUGGUCGCCAGAUGACGUCGGUAGUUGUCAGCUCGUCCAAUGCAGAGACAAGAUUUGUGUCUAUCUUGUUCAGACUCGUUCUCUGCAGUGAAGCUAAACCGGAUCUAGAUACCCAACUCUCCAUCUGUGGUGGAAGAGCCAAUGGAACCCUAGAAUUCAACUUCAGUCCAUGUCCGGCAACCUUCACUCUUCUUUGGUCCUCUUUCCUAAAAACAAUUAAACACAUAUUAGAAAACAAAUUAAAAAUAUUCAACUAUUAUUCAUUUUCAAUAUAGUCCGUUUACUUACCUCACCGAACCAUAUAUGUCGAGCAACAUGAUGCUCGUACUUCACCAAAAGCGAUGUAUCGUACGCCCUCCUGGAUAUCCAGUCGGCUCAGCUGCAGCUGCAGAUGAAGAUGCACCCCGUCUAACGUGCGGACUGGAAUCCGGCCAUCUGCACCUCUUCUUCGAACCACUGCAAAAUAAUUUAAAAAAAAUAAUUAAAAUUAAAUAAAAAAAUAAAAUAAAAAUUACGUACCGGAACACUUCAAAGAAGAGUUCCGGUACACAUCAUCCAAACGGAAGACUUGAGAAAGUGUUCCGGUAUACAAGUAUACACACCGGAAAGACUUUCUCUAGAAGACUUCCGGUUCAGUGUCCAUAAAAACAACAAACCGGAACACUUUAGAGAAGUGUUCCGGUAUACACUUUUCAAACGCGGAAGACUUACUCUUAAGUGUCCGGUAUACAAUGCAAACGCCAAAAAAAUUUCUUCUCCGGAAGUCUUCAACGAAAAUGGUAAAAAAAUUUUGAAACGGAAAAUAUACCCUAUUUAUAUGAGGGUAUUUUGGUCAAAAAAAUUUAAAUGUAGGGGUAUGGGUACAAUUGUAGGGGUAUAGGGUAAAAUUUUCUGUGGUGCGAUAUGGAGCAGACGGUACAUUGAGUAAAAUAAAUGGGCCCAAGGGAUUCCAAGGCCCAAGCCAUGUAUGAUUUCCAUGGAUCCGCUCAAAACAGGGACAAUGCGCUCGGAGAAAAAUGUUCUUCAUUUGCUUCUCCUGAGAAACAACCCCUCCGUCGCGCUGGAAUUCGCCACCGGCGGCGGCGGAUGACCUAACCCCCUAAAUGUUACAUCAAAACACUCAUACUUUCUCACUCUAUCUCGAUCUCACACCGUUUCCAUUUGAUUCCUUUCCCUAAGCCCGAAUCGAAGAAAAACCCCAAAUAAACCCUAAAUUUCCAGAUCAAAAGAAAUCAUAAGAUAUCGCGAGGGAAUCGAAACCUACGAGGGUAUGGCUUUAAAUCCUGAAGCUCAAAACUAAACUGUGGUGGCGAUUCAGGAUCCAAUCAAAAGAAGAAGCGGAGGAUUAUUU